AAAUGCCCCUAACCGGCGAGGAUACCAGCAGUGAUUUUGCUCAUCAAGACAAGCAAAAAUUGAUAAAUGUGAGAAGAUACAUCAAAGGCCGCAUAUCACUUGUGGAAAAUGAGCUGGGGGACAUUUCUACCGUAAAAUCCACCGCCAUGUUGGAUGUUGCCGCCGAACGAAUUAGCAGUCUUUUUACGAGAUUGGAGGACGUCAAUCUCAAUUUGGAAUCGAUGGAUACUUCAGAGACCGCUGAGGGAUCGAAAAUCGAGUCAAGGUGUCAAAGAAUACUAACUGACAUUCGUGAACGUCGUGAGGCGCUGAAGCAUCAUUGUAACUCAUCGGCGAGUGACUCCGGAUCGACGCAAGAGCACAAGCAUAAACCGAAUCUUCCCAAGAUAUCGUUGCCCAAGUUCAAUGGAAGUUAUGGAGACUGGUUGUCGUUCAAGGAUUUAUACGUCACUAUGGUACACGGAAAUGAAGAUUUAAGUCCCGUGCAGAAGUUAUAUUACUUGAAGUCGUGUUUGGUCGGCGAAGCUGCCUCUUUGGUUACGACUUUGGAAUGUACGAACGAAAACUACGUGAAGGCAUGGUCUGCGAUUACAUCAAGAUAUGACAAUAAGGUUCUUAUAGCUAAAUAUCAUUUGCAACACAUUUUGUCUUUACAUAAAGUCAAUGGUAAAUCUUAUACACUAAGACAAUUAACAAAUGAAUUUAUGCAGUAUUAUAACUCACUAUUAUCACUGAAUAUUUCAAACUUGCAAGAUAUUAUUCUCAUACAUAUUUUGUCAACAAAAAUUGAUUACAGUUCUUUGCGUGACUUUGAAUUGCAUAGAGAUUCCAGUGAUUUCCCUAGUUUGCAACAAUUUCUUAACUUUAUACAGCAGCGCUGCCAAGCAUUAGAUAUGCUAUGCCGUGAUGAAGCAGUGAGCACUACAAAGGUCGUGCCUCCGGCAAAGAGCACUAGUCAUGUGACUGUUGGCAGCGGCAGAAGUGCAAAUGGAGAAAAGGUGCGAACAGAGCUACCUUGAUUCUGUGUCCAGGGAUGAAGAAGGAAGGUAUCAUGUCGAUUUGCCAAUAAACAAAGAACUUCUACCAAAACUAGGCAAAUUCGAGUGAAACCUCAGUAUCAAGCACUUCAGCGCAUCCUGUGGAGAGAUGAUCCAUCGCAUGAUAUACAGUGUCUUCAGCUGGAUACUGUUACAUAUGGAACAGCAUCAGCCAGUUACCUUGCUAGUCUUGCUACACGGACAUUGGUGAAAUUGGUUGAGGAUGAAGGUGAUAAUUUUCCAUCUGCUUCUAAGGCAUUACUUCAAAGUACCUUCGUUGAUGACAUUUUGCAUGGCGAGAAUGAUCUUUCUUCUGCAUUAAAUACCAUAAAUGAGUUGCAAGAGUUGUUAGCUAAAGGAAGGUUUGAAUUGCACAAAUGGUACUCUAAUAGCUCAAUGUUAAUGUCGCAAUUUCCUCCUGAAAAACUUGAAAAAUGUCAUUUUUCCUUUGACAAUAAAGAAGGUUCUUGUAUUAAAACGCUAGGUUUGAAGUGGGAGCCAAACUCAGAUAAAUUUCAGGUCGAGGUACCUAAAUAUACUUCCACUAGUCAUACCAAAAGAAAUAUUUUGUCUGAUAUUGCUAAGGUCUAUGAUCCCUUGGGUUUUUUUGCUCCAGUUACAGUCUAUGCUAAGUUGAUAAUGCAAGAUAUCUGGAAGGCAAACGUUGACUGGGAUUCUGAGGUGCCUGACGCUAUUUUAUCUAAAUGGAAAUUUUUUUGUGCCAAUCUUGAAUGCUUGAAUGUCAUUUCAGUGCCUCGUCUCAUGGUUAAUACUGACGCAGAGAGGGUUGAGCUUCAUG